AACGAACGCUGGCGGCAGGCCUAACACAUGCAAGUCGAACGCCCUAGCAAUAGGGAGUGGCAGACGGGUGAGUAACACGUGGGAACGUGCCCUUCGGUUCGGAAUAACUCAGGGAAACUUGAGCUAAUACCGGAUACGUGCGAGAGCAGAAAGAUUUAUCGCCGAAGGAUGGGCCCGCGUCCGAUUAGCUAGUUGGUGAGGUAAUGGCUCACCAAGGCUACGAGCGGUAGCUGGUCUGAGAGGAUGACCAGCCACACUGGGACUGAGACACGGCCCAGACUCCUGCGGGAGGCAGCAGUGGGGAAUAUUGGACAAUGGGCGCAAGCCUGAUCCAGCCAUGCCGCGUGAGUGAUGAAGGCCCUAGGGUUGUAAAGCUCUUUCGCCAGGGACGAUAAUGACGGUACCUGGAUAAGAAGCCCCGGCUAACUUCGUGCCAGCAGCCGCCGUAA
rnacentral:rRNA from 1 species